rnacentral:lncRNA from 1 species
UGGUCCCCUCCGUAAAACAUUCAGUAUGCAUUCGGAACAUACAUAUAUUAAGGUAUUGUCAAGAAUUUCAAUAACGGCCGGGAAACAGACUAGUUGUUAACCUUCUAUGAUUAUUAAAGAAUGACGGAUGUUGUUUUUUUUAUCGGUACGUCUAAACACUGCUAAGGAAUCCUUAGUGCACUAAGACUUUGACUAUACAAUGCCGCUAAGGACUAGAAGGAGUGCUGUUAUAUGUAUUAUUUUUAUAUAUCAUGUUAGAGAUUGAUAUUUAAUGCAUAAAUUUCAAAUU